rnacentral:rRNA from 1 species
AGCUCCACUAGCGUAUAUUAAAGUUGCUGCAGUUAAAAAGCUCGUAGUCGGAUCUCGGGAUCGUGUCGGUGAUUUGGUUGCUUCUCCUGCGUUUCGGCGCUGGGGGUUGUGGCCGGUCAUCGGCCCUGCCGGCGAGGUCCCUACCUUUGGUGGGGUUCCACCUCGCUCGUGCAGCCCGCCGUCGCGAUUUGGCGGGUGUCCUUAAUUGGAUGCCCGUCUCGGUCGUGACCACUUUACCUUGAACAAAUCGGAGUGCUCAAAGCAGGCUCUCUAUCGCUCGAACGGUAGCGCAUGGAAUAAUGGAAGAGGACUUGCUUCCGCUUCUGUUGGUCUCACGGAGGCAGGUAAUGAUCAAGAGGGACGGACGGGGACAGAGGUAUGUCUCGGCGAGAGGUGAAAUUCUUGGACCCUAGACAGACCCUCGAGAGCGAAAGCAUCUGUCAAGGAUGUUUCCA